rnacentral:rRNA from 1 species
AUUGAACGCUGGCGGCAGGCCUAACACAUGCAAGUCGAGCGGAUGAAGGGAGCUUGCUCCUGGAUUCAGCGGCGGACGGGUGAGUAAUUCCUAGGAAUCUGCCUGGUAGUGGGGGAUAACGUCCGGAAACGGGCGCUAAUACCGCAUACGUCCUGAGGGAGAAAGUGGGGGAUCUUCGGACCUCACGCUAUCAGAUGAGCCUAGGUCGGAUUAGCUAGUUGGUGGGGUAAAGGCCUACCAAGGCGACGAUCCGUAACUGGUCUGAGAGGAUGAUCAGUCACACUGGAACUGAGACACGGUCCAGACUACUACGGGAGGCAGCAGUGGGGAAUAUUGGACAAUGGGCGAAAGCCUGAUCCAGCAAUGCCGCGUGUGUGAAGAAGGUCUUCGGAUUGUAAAGCACUUUAAGUUGGGAGGAAGGGAAGUAAGUUAAUACCUAGCUGUUUUGACGUUACCAACAGAAUAAGCACCGGCUAACUUCGUG